rnacentral:rRNA from 1 species
AGAGUUUGAUUAUGGCUCAGGAUGAACGCUGGCGGCGUGCUUAACACAUGCAAGUCGAACGGACUUAUAUGAAGCCUAGCGAUUAUAAAGUUAGUGGCGGACGGGUGAGUAACGCGUGGGUAACCUGCCGUAUGCCGGGGGACAACAGUUGGAAACGACUGCUAAUACCGCAUAAGCGCACAGAGAGGCAUCUCUCAGUGUGAAAAACUCCGGUGGCAUACGAUGGACCCGCGUCUGAUUAGGCAGUUGGCGAGGUAACGGCUCACCAAACCUACGAUCAGUAGCCGGCCUGAGAGGGUGAACGGCCACAUUGGGACUGAGACACGGCCCAAACUCCUACGGGAGGCAGCAGUGGGAAUAUUGCACAAUGGGGGAAACCCUGAUGCAGCGACGCCGCGUGAGUGAAGAAGUAUUUCGGUAUGUAAAGCUCUAUCAGCAGGAAAGAAAAUGACGGUACCUGACUAAGAAGCCCCGGCUAACUACGUGCCAGCCGCGGC